GACGAACGCUGGCGGCGUGCCUAAUACAUGCAAGUCGAACGCUUCUUUACUCCCGAGUGCUUGCUAUCAAUUGGAAAGAGGAGUGGCGGACGGGUGAGUAACAAGUGUGUAACUUAGUCAUCAGUGGGGGAUAAAACUUGGAAAUAGGAGCUAAUACCGCCUAACAGUUUAUGCAGCAUGGCUUCAGAGUGAACGGCGCUUACGGGUGUCGCUGCUGGUUGGCCAGGUGGUGGAUUAGCUAGUUGGCGAGGUAACGGCCCACCAAGGCCACGAUGCGUAGCUGACCUGAGAGGGUGAUCGGCCACACUGGGACUGAGACACGGCCCAGACUCCUACGGGAGGCAGCAGUAGGGAAUCUUCGGCAAAGGGCGAAAGUCUGACCGAGCAACGCCGCGUGAGUGAAGAAGGUCUUCGGAUCGUAAAGCUCUUUUGUUAGAGAAGAACAGCAGCAUGAGUAACUGAACGUCUCCUGACGGUAUCUAAACAGAAAGCCACGGCUAACUACGUG
rnacentral:rRNA from 1 species